CCCUGAAAAGAGGGAAUCCCUAACUGUUAACCGAAGGGGUUGUAGGUUCGAGUCCUACCUCAGGAGCCA
rnacentral:tRNA from 1 species